CAGUCGCCGCGGUAAUACGAAGGGUGCAAGCGUUAAUCGGAAUUACUGGGCGUAAAGCGUGCGUAGGCGGUUUGUUAAGUCUGCUGUGAAAUCCCCGGGCUCAACCUGGGAAUGGCAGUGGAUACUGGCAAGCUAGAGUGUGUCAGAGGAUGGUGGAAUUCCCGGUGUAGCGGUGAAAUGCGUAGAGAUCGGGAGGAACAUCAGUGGCGAAGGCGGCCAUCUGGGACAACACUGACGCUGAGGCACGAAAGCGUGGGGAGCAAACAGGAUUAGAUACCCAGUAGUCCCUGUCUCUUAUACA
rnacentral:rRNA from 1 species